CACUUCUAAGGAAGGCAGCAGGCGCGCAAAUUACCCAAUCCUGACUCAGGGAGGUAGUGACAAGAAAUAACAAUAAACCGGCUUAUGCCGGUUUAAUUGGAAUGAGUACAAUUUAAACAUCUUAACGAGGAACAAUUGGAGGGCAAGUCUGGUGCCAGCAGCCGCGGUAAUUCCAGCUCCAAUAGCGUAUACUAAAGUUGUUGCAGUUAAAAAGCUCGUAGUUGGAUUUCUGUGGGGACGGAGCGGCCGGCCGCAACUCGCGGUUCGAGCUAGCGCUUUCCCUACAUCCUGCCGCGAACCGUGCUACCAUUAGUUUGGUGGCGCCGGGGAUCGGCUCGAUUACUUUGAGAAAAAUAGAGUGUUCAAAGCAGGCCACAUGCCUUGAAUAAGUUAGCAUGGAAUAAUAACUAAGGACUUCGGUUCUAUUUUGUUGGUGUUCGGGACUGAAGUAAUGAUUGAUAGGGACAGUUGGGGCGGUCUGUAUUCCAAAGCGAGAGGUGAAAUUCUUAGACCUUCGGAAGACAAACAGCUGCGAAAGCGUUCCGCAAGGAUGUUCCCUUUGAUCAAGAACGAAAGUUGGGGGAUCGAAGACGAUCAGAUACCGUCGUAGUCUCAACUAUAAACUAUACCAGCUAGGGAUCGGCCAACGUUAUUUCAAACCGACUUGGUCGGCACCUUAUGAGAAAUCAAAGCAUCUGGGUUCCGGGGGGAGUAUGGUCGCAAGGCUGAAACUUAAAGGAAUUGACGGAAGGGCACCACCAGCCGUGGAGCCUGUGGCUUAAUUUGACUCAACACGGGAAAACUUACCAGGUCCAGACAUAGUAAGGAUUGACAGAUUGAUAGCUCUUUCUUGAUUCUGUGGGUGGUGGUGCAUGGCCGUUCUUAGUUGGUGGAGUGAUUUGUCUGGUUAAUUCCGUUAACGAACGAGACCUCAGCCUGCUAAAUAGUUCUUGUUUCUUUUGAAUCUUUGAACUUCUUAGAGGGACUACUUCGCAAACAAGCGAGAGGAAGCUUGAGGCAAUAACAGGUCUGUGAUGCCCUUAGAUGUUCUGGGCCGCACACGGGCUACACUGGUGUAUUCAACAAGUCUUGUCACCUACAUUGAAGAAUGCGGGUAAUCUUUGAAUCUACACCGUGCUUGGGAUAGACUUUUGCAAUUUUUAGUCUUCAACGAGGAAUUCCUAGUAAACGCGAGUCAUCAGCUCGCAUUGAUUACGUCCCUGCCCUUUGUACACACCGCCCGUCGCUCCUACCGAUUGAACGAUCCGGUAAGCAUUUGGGAUUGGUUUCUUUUAACCCUCACGGGUUUCAAGUGUCGACAACUUAUUCAAACCUAAUCGUUUAG
rnacentral:rRNA from 1 species